UUCUCGUUCUUCAUUCAUAAUAGCCUUCUCAAUCAUGAUAUGAGACUCAGGCUGAUGAGUGGGCUGAUAUGAAUUUACGGGUUUGAAUGCCAAUUCAGGAGGAUAGACUUGAUCAUGAUUUAGUUCGUUGAUAGGCUUCUGUAUCAUUGAUGGAGGAUUUAUAUUAGUUGUCACGGCCGAAAUGACAAGCAGGUUGUUCGUGAAUGAUGGAUUUGGAGGACGCAUGGUGGAUGUGCCAGCAGCGCUAGACACAUUAGCGUAUGGACCAAAUCCAGGCGGAUAAAGUGGAUCGUCGGCUUGGGCUUGAGUAGAACUAAGAAGAUUUGCAUCUGAAAGGCCAGGAAUCGAGGAAGGCGGAGCUUAUCCAUUCGCCCAGGCCUGAUACAUUUCCGCAAUUUGUUGCUUCAAUAACCUAUUCUCCUCCAAAGAUGCGAACUCUCGUGGGACUAACUGAUCUCGGCCUUCUUCAUUAUCAGAUUCUGUUCCAUCUUUCCGAGUCAUCUUCCUUUUUCCUUUAUACCUUGUGUU
rnacentral:lncRNA from 1 species